rnacentral:rRNA from 1 species
UACAGAGGGGGCAAGCGUUGUUCGGAAUUACUGGGCGUAAAGGGCGCGUAGGCGGCCUGUUAAGUCGAACGUGAAAUCCCCGGGCUCAACCCGGGAACUGCGUCCGAUACUGGCAGGCUUGAAUUCGGGAGAGGGAUGCGGAAUUCCAGGUGUAGCGGUGAAAUGCGUAGAUAUCGGGAAGAACACCAAAGAGGCGAAGGCAGUUAACUAUUCUGCUCCUGACAUUGAGGCACGAAAGCGUGGGUAGCAAAGCGG